rnacentral:rRNA from 1 species
GACGAAGGGGCUAGCGUUGUUCGGAAUUACUGGGCGUAAAGCGCGUGUAGGCGGUUGCCCAAGUCGGGUGUGAAAGCCUUGAGCUCAACUCAAGAAAUGCACUCGGUACUGGGUGACUAGAGGACCGGAGAGGAUAGUGGAAUUCCAGUGUAGUGGUGAAAUACGUAGAGAUUGGGAAGAACACCAGUGGCGAAGGCGGCUAUCUGGACGGUUUCUGACGCUAAGACGCGAAAGCGUGGGGAGCAAACAGGG